AACGAACGCUGGCGGCAUGCCUAACACAUGCAAGUCGAACGAGACCUUCGGGUCUAGUGGCGCACGGGUGCGUAACGCGUGGGAACCUGCCCUUAGGUUCGGAAUAACUCCCCGAAAGGGGUGCUAAUACCGGAUAAUGUCUUCGGACCAAAGAUUUAUCGCCUUUGGAUGGGCCCGCGUUGGAUUAGCUAGUUGGUAGGGUAAAAGCCUACCAAGGCGACGAUCCAUAGCUGGUCUGAGAGGAUGAUCAGCCACACUGGGACUGAGACACGGCCCAGACUCCUACGGGAGGCAGCAGUGGGGAAUAUUGGACAAUGGGCGAAAGCCUGAUCCAGCAAUGCCGCGUGAGUGAUGAAGGCCUUAGGUUUGUAAAGCUCUUUUACCCGGGAUGAUAAUGACAGUACCGGGAGAAUAAGCUCCGGCUAACUCCGU
rnacentral:rRNA from 1 species